rnacentral:rRNA from 1 species
UACGAAGGGGGCUAGCGUUGCUCGGAAUCACUGGGCGUAAAGGGUGCGUAGGCGGGUCUUUAAGUCAGGGGUGAAAUCCUGGAGCUCAACUCCAGAACUGCCUUUGAUACUGAGGAUCUUGAGUACGGGAGAGGUGAGUGGAACUGCGAGUGUAGAGGUGAAAUUCGUAGAUAUUCGCAAGAACACCAGUGGCGAAGGCGGCUCACUGGCCCGUUACUGACGCUGAGGCACGAAAGCGUGGGUAGCAAACAGG